rnacentral:tRNA from 1 species
GGGGUAGUAGUCUAGUGGUAUGACAACGCCUUCACGCGGCGUAGGUCGCAGGUUCAAUUCCUGCCUACCCCACCA